AUUGAACGCUGGCGGCAGGCCUAACACAUGCAAGUCGAGCGGAGCGGCGGACGGGUGAGUAAUGCUUAGGAAUCUGCCUAUUAGUGGGGGACAACAUCUCGAAAGGGAUGCUAAUACCGCAUACUAAUAGAUGAGCAUAAGUCGGAUUGGCUAUGUGGUGGGGUAAAGGUCUACCAAGGCGACGAUCUGUAACGGGUCGGAGAGGAUGAUCCGCCACACUGGGACUGGAAAACGGCCCAGAAUUCUACGGGAGGCAGCAGUGGGGAAUAUGGGACAAUGGGGGGAACGCUGAACGAGCCAUGCCGCGGGUGUUAAGAAGGCCUUAUGGUUUUAAAGCAAUUUAAGCGAGGAGGCGUUACUCGCAGAAUAAGCACCGGCUAACUCCGUGCCAGCAGCCGCGGUAAUUC
rnacentral:rRNA from 1 species